UUGUAUAGCCAAUAAAACGCA
ensembl:piRNA 21ur-2922 ncRNA